CCAUUUAUUGUCGAAAUUUGCCAUUAGAAAGAAGUAGUGGAGAACAUGCAUUGUCCGCAUUUAAAAGUAGAAGCAAGUUCUUAGUUGUCGAUGCAGGAGGCGGCACUGUUGAUAUAACUGUCCAAGAGAUUACUACAAAUGGGGCUAUGAAAAACAUCUUCAAAGCCAGUGGUGGUGAUUGGGGAGGAACGAAAGUUGACGAGGCAUAUUUCAAUAUCCUAGCUGAUGUUGUUGGAAAUGAAACACUGCUGGAGUACAAAAGAACACACAUGGAAGAUUACUUAAUUUUGAUGUGGAAUUUCGAGGUUAAAAAGAGAGCUAUUAACCCAUUAAAG